UUUUAUUUCAUUAAUUGAACAAGUUGUUGAAAUUUUAGUAUAUCAAAUUUUUAAUAUUUAAUUAAUUAAAAAGAAUUUAAAAUUCAUUGUAAUUUAAUAUAAAUAUUAAUAGAAAUAUCCUCAGGCGAUUCCUUCAUCAGAGCAUAUUUUCAGAAAUAAUAUUCAAAACUUAUUGCUCUGAUUCUAAAAUCUGCCUGUCGCGAAAUGUCUUCUUGCACAAAAAUUAAUUCAUAUUUGUACGAAUAAAAAUUAAACUUUACUAUCUACCACUGUUGUAAAUCAUAUUGAAGUUAUAUGAAAUUAUUAUAUGAUAAUCACAAUAAUCAAAUUGAUCAAAUAACUUAAAAUGUUACUCUGAAGAAUUUUUAAUUAUAAAAAUUCAAACUAAUUAUUGUAUUAUACUGAUAAUUAUAUGUUUUGGCAUUAUUAAAAUUACUAAACAUUUCAUAUUAAUCAAAAACGCGAAGCGUAAGAAGACUCUAGCCUGAACUAAUAAAUAAAACAUAAAAGAAAUAAUUGUUACUACUCGCGGGUAAUUAUUAUAAAUAAAUACCCGCGGUCAUUGUGCUCGUGCAAAAUUCUACGUAUACAACCAGUCAUUCGUGUCGAUUCGGAUCUUUCAUCCUACGACAUGAUUGAGUGACCGGAGGAAUCAAAAAGCGACUCACCAUAUGAUGCGACGAACGCCUUCACUGUUACUGUAGCCCAGAAAUCAUCGAGAAGAAGGUUGUCAUCAGGUAGAAGAAUAGAAGAAAUCUGUGACAAAACAUCAUAAUUAAAAACACGGUUCUGAUUAUUUGAAAAAAUUGAAAUACGAAACUAUUAAAUAUGCAAUAUAUAAUAAUGAUAUUGAAAUUCCAGUUAAUUUCCAUUUAGAAGAAUAAAAAUUUAGAUAUAUAAAAGCAUAAUUACCUCUUCGCGUGAGGGAUGAUCGCCUUAUUCUCUUGAGAGAAGCACUGACUCUAUCCUGUACCGAAAACGAAUAUUUA